CCGAAACAUACGUUUUUCAUUUAACUGAAGUGGAUCCAUAUAUGAACUCAUUUUCGCGCGAAACAAGGUUAGAACACGACGCACCGUACUGAACGACAACAACGAAGUUCUCUGGCUGCUACGAUUGGUGCACAAGGUAGCCACCUUAACGACAUCUCACGCGUGUGGCGACACUGUCGCGUAAAUUUAGUACGCAACACUCAGUUGUUUGUUAGUCAAGUUUAAAUAAGAAAGUGAGGGCUAAUCACGAGGUUAUACGUGCGUGGUUUUGAGAAAUUGUGCCACAAUUUCACUGCUCACACAGCGAAUUGAGCCGGUGUCAACCGUGAGUGUUCCCCCAACUAGUGUAAAUCUCGAGUCACUGGUUGAGCGGUGGAAGAUGCUAUGAUACGGGGGCAGGUGUCGCGGUAAACUCAGUUAAUUAGACAAGAGGCAACCAUCGCCACCCCUCGACACCCCCGAGGCUUGUUAAUAACGCGUAAUUACCAUUAUACACGGCGAUACACUCUUCCAAGCCCACGUUGGCGACCCCAUUAGAUAAGACGACACCUUAUUAUACGCGAACUAACGCCACUGUAUCGUGCAACCACAAAACUUCGAAGUGUAGUGCCUCGACGUGGGAUCCGAGAUGGAGGAUCCUCAUUUUCUUCUUCGCACUGAACGGGAAUGAUAAGCUGAUGGAGGAGAUCAAGAUCCAUUGUUAGACUCGAGUGAGAUGAGAGGUAGGCUUGGCCACAUUGGUACCGCCUACUAUAUAGAAUAAUCUCGACAAGAAAGGACUUGACCAAUCUCGUCCUGCCCCACCAGGUAGCGAUCUUAUACUCUUGGACACGUGGACUCUAAAGUGAGCCGUCGCGGCUAGUUCUUUUCUAUACGAGAGGUACACGCUUUAAUCGUUUCAUCUGUUUUACGCUCUUCCACACUUUUAACUUGACUGUGUUCUCAAGAUUCUCGAGACAAUAA